rnacentral:rRNA from 2 species
CACGCUGUAAACGAUCAAUACUAGGUGUGCGGGGACUGACCCCCUGCGUGCCGGAGUUAACACAAUAAGUAUUGCACCUGGGGAGUACGAUCGCAAGGUUGAAACUCAAAGGAAUUGACGGGGGCCCGCACAAGCGGUGGAUUAUGUGGUUUAAUUCGAAGCAACGCGAAGAACCUUACCAGGGCUUGACAUCCUACUAAUGAAGCAGAGAUGCAUUAAGUGCCCUUCGGGGAAAGUAGAGACAGGUGG